GAUGAACGCUGGCGGCGUGCCUAAUACAUGCAAGUCGAGCGAACAGACGAGGAGCUUGCUCCUCUGACGUUAGCGGCGGACGGGUGAGUAACACGUGGAUAACCUACCUAUAAGACUGGGAUAACUUCGGGAAACCGGAGCUAAUACCGGAUAACAUGUUGAACCGCAUGGUUUAACAGUGAAAGACGGUCUUGCUGUCACUUAUAGAUGGAUCCGCGCCGCAUUAGCUAGUUGGUAAGUUAACGGCUUACCAAGGCAACGAUGCGUAGCCGACCUGAGAGGGUGAUAGGCGACACUGGAACUGAGACACGGUCCAGACUCCUACGGGAGGCAGCAGUAGGGAAUCUUCCGCAAUGGGCGAAAGCCUGACGGAGCAACGCCGCGUGAGUGAAGAAGGUCUUCGGAUCGUAAAACUCUGUUAUUAGGGAAGAACAAAUGUGUAAGUAACUAUGCACGUCUUGACGGUACCUAAUCAGAAAGCCACGGCUAACUACGUG
rnacentral:rRNA from 1 species